CCGAGUUUACAACUCCCAAACCCCUGUGAACAUACCACUUGUUGCCUCGGCGGAUCAGCCCGCUCCCGGUAAAAACGGGACGGCCCCGCCAGAGGACCCCUAAACUCUGUUUCUAUAUGUAACUUCUGAGUAAAACCAUAAAUAAAUCAA
rnacentral:misc_RNA from 1 species